AGAGUUUGAUCCUGGCUCAGGAUGAACGCUGGCGGCGUGCCUAAUACAUGCAAGUCGAGCGAGAAUCAUUCGAUCGGAGAUUCGUCGAAGAGAAAAUGAGGAAAGCGGCGGACGGGUGAGUAACGCGUAGGCAACCUGCCCUUAGCAGAGGGAUAGCCAUUGGAAACGAUGAUUAAAACCUCAUAACGCCGGAGGUACACAUGUACCACCGGCCAAAGAUUUAUCGGCUAAGGAUGGGCCUGCGUCUGAUUAACUAGUUGGUGAGGUAACGGCCCACCAAGGUGACGAUCAGUAGCCGACCUGAGAGGGUGAUCGGCCACAUUGGAACUGAGACACGGUCCAAACUUCUACGGAAGGCAGCAGUAAGGAAUCUUGCACAAUGGGGGAAACCCUGAUGCAGCAACGCCGCGUGAACGAUGAAGGCCUUAGGGUUGUAAAGUUCUGAUCUGGGGGAAGAAGAAAGUGACGGUACCCCAGGAGAAAGCCCCGGCUAAAUACGUGCCAGCAGCCGCGGUAAUACGUAUGGGGCAAGCGUUAUCCGGAAUUAUUGGGCGUAAAGAGUGCGUAGGUGGUUACCUAAGCGCAAGGUUUAAUCUUGAGGCUCAACCUCAUUCUGCCUUGCGAACUGGGCUACUUGAGUGCAGGAGGGGAAAGCGGAAUUCCCAGUGUAGCGGUGAAAUGCGUAGAUAUUGGGAAGAACACCGGUGGCGAAGGCGGCUUUCUGGACUGUAACUGACACUGAGGCACGAAAGCGUGGGGAGCAAACAGGAUUAGAUACCCUGGUAGUCCACGCCGUAAACGAUGAGCACUAGUUGUUGGGUACGAAUGUAUUCAGUG
rnacentral:rRNA from 1 species